rnacentral:rRNA from 1 species
CUACGGGGGGCACCAGUGAGGAAUUUUGCGCAAUGGGGGGAACCCUGACGCAGCAACGCCGUGUGAGUGAAGAAGGCCUUUGGGUCGUAAAGCUCUGUCAACUGGGAAGAAGUUACUAUGCUUAAAUAGAGCGCAGUAUUGACGGUACCAGUGGAGGAAGCGUCGGCUAACCCCGUGCCAGCAGCCGCGGUAACACGGGGGACGCAAGCGUUAUUCGGAAUUAUUGGGCGUAAAGGGCGCGUAGGCGGUCUUGUCGGUCAGGUGUGAAAGCCCGGGGCUCAACCCCGGACGUGCACUUGAAACAGCAAGACUUGAGUACGGGAGAGGAAAGCGGAAUUCCUGGUGUAGAGGUGAAAUUCGUAGAUAUCAGGAGGAACACCGAUGGCGAAGGCAGCUUUCUGGACCGAAACUGACGCUGAGGCGCGAAGGCGUGGGUAGCGAACGGGAUUAGAUACCCUGGUAGUC